GAUGAACGCUGGCGGCGUGCCUAAUACAUGCAAGUCGAGCGAACAGACGAGGAGCUUGCUCCUCUGAUGUUAGCGGCGGACGGGUGAGUAACACGUGGAUAACCUACCUAUAAGACUGGGAUAACUUCGGGAAACCGGAGCUAAUACCGGAUAACAUGUUGAACCGCAUGGUUCAACAGUGAAAGAUGGUCUUGCUGUCACUUAUAGAUGGAUCCGCGCCGCAUUAGCUAGUUGGUAAGGUAACGGCUUACCAAGGCAACGAUGCGUAGCCGACCUGAGAGGGUGAUCGGCCACACUGGAACUGAGACACGGUCCAGACUCCUACGGGAGGCAGCAGUAGGGAAUCUUCCGCAAUGGGCGAAAGCCUGACGGAGCAACGCCGCGUGAGUGAAGAAGGUCUUCGGAUCGUAAAACUCUGUUAUUAGGGAAGAACAAAUGUGUAAGUAACUAUGCACGUCUUGACGGUACCUAAUCAGAAAGCCACGGCUAACUACGUG
rnacentral:rRNA from 1 species